CUGAAAUAUAGAUGGUAAUUCAGACGACAAUGAC
rnacentral:sRNA from 1 species